AGAGACGCACUCUACACGUGUCAUGAGGAGACUGUCCUUAUCUGAUGUCACCACUAUUCUAGUAACUCACCAAAACUACAUCGCAUCUACAACAUGAUAGCCCGAAGUUUGUUACUCCUGCUUCUUUUCAUCAUGCUUUUGGUUUGCUGUACAAGAUGUUGUCAAACAAAAGCAUCAGACAAGUAUGAGAAUGUCAUUCUCGAGUUUCUACUGGACGCUCAACGACUGCCCUUGACAUACAAAAGUUACAUACUGAAAGACGCUCGAUACAUAAAGCUGAAAAAACGUUUGACGAAGUUUGUACCUCAAUUGAAGCGUUGGUUAAAGAAUAAUAAGAGGUUGAGAAGAGUCCUGAGUACCUACAACUAACAAAUUUGGGAAGCGGAGUUUCAAUGAAGUCUGCAAAACCCAAGAAAACAUUUCUCUUCAGUACCUCACAUCCAUUGCUUUUCUGUUUCUAACAUUAGAGAUGAAAAUGAAAAUAAAAAAUGUUUAUUAUAUUUGACAAGAUGUUCGGAUUAUUAAAGAAUUAAAAGUAUGGAGACGAAAUGAC